rnacentral:rRNA from 1 species
AUGCUUCGGGGAAGCUCAAGGAACUGGAACUGUUCGACGAUCUUAAGUCUGCUUUCUACGAAGCAGAGGACAUCUUGGAUGAUGUUGAGUAUUACCGUCUCGAGAAACAGAUACAAGAUGACUGUCCCAAGUCAGAGGUGGCCGCGCCUCGACGUGACAAGGAUCGCGUCAAGAAGCCCUUACGGCAAAAGGUUGGAUGAUAUUAAAAAUAACCUCAUUUUGCAAAUCAAGCUGAAAAUUAGAAUGUCCUUCAGUUUUUUAGUGCAGGUUUCUUGGAUCCGUAGAAAUAUUUUCUCAUUCAUCGAUUUCCUCACUUGCUAUUUUGUUUUGCAGGAGUGUGGCAUGUCAAAAACAGAGUUGAAGCAGAGCCUAGAAAAAAUAGAAAAGGUCAUAAAUGAUGCAUGUGGACUUUUUGAACAGAUGAACUUGCCAAACAAAAGUAACGCGAGCAAACCUGCCAACUCACGUGGUGCAGUCACUACGGCGAGGCCUCCAUCUGUGGUAAUCGGACGAGAUAAAGAUUGUGAUACCAUAGUAGCAAUGCUUCAUGAUAAGGAAGAUGCUCAACCAGACACCAAUAGGGCUCAUUGUCGUUAUUCCAUAAUCGGCAUUCAUGGCAUCGGUGGUUCUGGGAAAUCAACCCUUUCACAACUUGUUUGUGCCCAUGAGGAAAAGGAUGGUCAUUUCAACUUUGUUAUGUGGGUUCACGUUUCUCAGGAUUUUAGUGUGGAUACCAUUUUCAGGCAGAUGUCUGAGGCCGCUACCAGGACCCCGUGCCCUCAGUUCAAUAAUCUUGACGCCUUACAAACUAAUUUGGAGAAGAUACUGCAUGGAAAACGGUUCCUCUUGGUACUAGAUGAUGUUUGGUACAAUAAUAGAGAUGUGAGGCAGUAUGAGAAGCUGCAACAGAUACUUUCACCGCUGAACGCUGGAGAGGCAGGAAGCAAGGUCCUGGUGACUAGUCGAACUAAAGACGCAUUGAUAGCUCUGGGUGCUGCAGAGCAUAGAUGUAUUCCCAUGUCAGUCCUAGGUGAAGAUGUCUUCCUGAAAUUGUUCAAGCACUAUGCAUUUCACAACGUGUGCGUUGCUGCUGAUGACCGAAUAAGACUCGAAGACAUUGCGACUCACAUUGCAAAAAAGCUGAAGGGAUCACCUCUGGCGGCCAAAAUUGUUGGAGGGCAGCUACGUAUGAGGCCAAACAUUGAUUACUGGAGAAGUUCCCGAGAUGGAAACCACUUGGAUGACACCAUGGGAGCUCUGUGGUGGAGCUACCAACAUCUUGAUGAACAGGUCAGACGAUGCUUUGCUUACUGCAGUAUUUUUCCUCGAGGACGUUACUUGGAACGACAUGAGUUAGUUAAGCUUUGGGCUGCAGAAGGGUUUGCUAGAAGUAGCAAUGAAGGGAAGGAUUUGGAAGAUGUUUGCCAGGGAUACUUUGAUGAACUAGUGUCAGCCUCAUUUCUGCAAUCUGAAGUAAAGAAGUACUCCAGUAAAAAGGAUACUUAUAUAGUUCAUGAUCUGUUGCUUGAUUUAGCAGAUAAGGUUGCUGGAAGUGAUUGUUUCAGAAUAGAGAAUCAAUGGAAACAGAUAGGAGAUAGCUUGGUAAUGGAAGGAUGUGAAGAUGAAGUUCCCCCAGACGCUCGCCAUCUUUUUGUUCAGACCUAUGGUUCAGAAUUGAUAAAUGAGAAGAUAUGUAAAUUGGACAAGCUGCGCACUCUCAUCAUUGAUGGCGUAGAUGACAGAAAACAAGUUGAGGAGAAAGUCGUCAAGAGUCUGUUUGUGAGGCUAAAGAAGUUGCGGGUGCUUAUCAUACCUGUCUAUAAUGAUCAAGGUACAUUUUCAGUCCCAGAAUCUAUUGGUCAGCUAAGGCAUCUACGGUAUCUACGGCAUCUUCGUUUUGAGACUAGAUACGGCAAGAAGCUGGUUUUACCAAGCACUUUGAGCAAGCUUUACCACAUGCAGGUUCUAGAUUUUUUUGAUAUUCAAAACUUGGUGUUCAGCUCGCGUGAUGACAUGUUUAGCCUCAUCAACUUGCGACAUAUGGCCGGAAUGCCGUUUCUGAAAAUUCCAAGAGUUGGCAGGAUGACAUUGCUUCGAACGCUGCAAAAAAUUAUAGUGGGAAAGGAACAAGGGUGCGAGUUAAAGCAACUCGGCGGCCUAAACCAGCUUCGCGGCAAACUGAGUAUCGCGGGCCUCGAAAACGUCGAGACCCGGCAGGAAGCCCUUGAAGCCAAGCUAGGCGACAAAGAAGGGCUCACGGCAUUGGAACUGUGGUGGUGUCAUGAUACGAGAGGAGAGUUGAAGAAACAGGAGGCUCAGACAGAGGUGCUGGAGGGUCUCUGCCCACCCAAGCAUCUCGAAUCACUGUCGAUCUACUCCUACCAUGGCUUGAGAUACCCGAGCUGGAUGAUGGGCCAGCACGACGGCGGCCCAAAGUAUCUGAACGAACUCAGCCUCAACCAUUCCAGCACAGAGCUUGGGCGAGUGCUUGGUGGGUUCUGGCCUCACCUCCGUUCGUUCCACAUGUACCGUUGCAGCUCGUCCACCAUGCCGGAUCACAUGGAGCACCUGACGUCGCUCACGCGCCUGGACCUCAACUGGUGCCCGAACAUUCGGUCGCUUCCGACGCUGCCGCGGUCUCUUGAGUAUUUGAGUCUCUUCUUCUGCAAUGAGAUGCUGAUGAGUGCGUGCAGAAGAGCUGGAGACCCCAACUGGGAAAAGACUCAGCACAUUCCUUAUGUAUGUGUCAACGACUUAGAGGUAAUAAAUCACCAUAUCUUCCUUGGCAUUGUCAAGACUUGUCAUUCUUAA